rnacentral:rRNA from 1 species
AGCAGCCGCGGUAAUUCCAGCUCCAAUAGCGUAUAUUAAAGUUGUUGCAGUUAAAAAGCUCGUAGUUGAAUUUCGGGAUUGACACAUCGGUCGUGCCUUAAGGGGCAUGAACUGGUGUAGUCAGUUUCUCACCUUCUGGAGAACCGCGAUGUCCUUAAUUGGGUGCCGCGAGGAACCAGGACCUUUACUUUGAAAAAAUUAGAGUGUUUAAAGCAGGCAUUUUGCUUGAAUACAUUAGCAUGGAAUAAUAAAAUAGGACGGAUGGUUCUAUUUUGUUGGUUUCUAGGAUCACCGUAAUGAUUAAUAGGGAUAGUUGGGGGCAUUAGUAUUCAAUUGUCAGAGGUGAAAUUCUUGGAUUUAUUGAAGACUAACUACUGCGAAAGCAUUUGCCAAGGAUGUUUUCAUUAAUCAAGAACGAAAGUUAGGGGAUCGAAGACGAUCAGAUACCGU